ensembl:lncRNA
UGAAGUUGAACGUGAAAUGCAUGAAAUGUGGAAAAUUACAUAAGCUUUUGCUAGCUUUCAUAAUAAGGUCUUAAAAUUGUCAUAGCUACUAUAUUAUAAAAAACUUUUGAUGAAAACGAUAGGGACUUUGUGUUCCUAUCACCUAAAUGUUAAUACAUUACCAAAAUGUAUUUAUUUAUUUAUAUUGGCUCAGUUUAAAAAAAAAAAAAAAAGUGUAUGUCACACAUCCUUUCAUUAUAACAUAACAUUGUUUCCUCCUUAAAUGGGUAGUUAACAUCUUCAGUAUUACAGAAAUGUAUCAUGUGUUGGGCUGAUGUUUUUAAUUUAUGGCAAGAAACAUUGCCCAAUAUGCAACGACUAUACCCCAUGCUUCCAGCGAGAGCCAAACAGUACGCACAAUAGUCAGGGCCACAUUAAGACCUCACUGGGCCCCAGGGCUAGGGCUUACUGCAGCCCCCGUAUAUAUUGUAGUCAAUGGGGACCAGAAACUUUCUGGUUACAAACUGUCUUCAAAAUAUCUUCUUUUAUCUUGAGGAGAACAUAAAAAUUCAUACAGGUUUAAAACAACUUGAGACUGAGUAAAUGAUGACAGUAGGUGGCUGAACUAUCCCUUUAAGAUCUUAUCUAUGCCAGGAUCACAUAUAGCCUACUACUACUCAUGUUAUCUUUAACUACUAACGUUCAUUUAAGACACAAAUGACUGUUUAUGAGUAUACUCGCAAAGAUGGGCAUUUUGGUGCACAACUAUGUGUAUUUGAACGUUUAAGCACAAGGUGCAAAAAAUAACUAUCAGGGUGAAACCGUCUUAUCGCGCGCGCUGCGCUACCAAAAUGAAUUCUGCUCCUCUGCUUAAUGUCCCUGAACAGUGUAAAAUGUUAAAGGAUAAGCUUACAUCAUGACACACAAAAUGACUGACAUAUUUCUACCAAGUUAUCUCCCAACCCUUGAGUGAAUAUGUAGGCCCAAUCCCAAUUUUUCCCCUUAGCCCUUCCCCUUUCCCCUACCCCUCCGGCCAGACAGCCCUUCAAAUGAAGAUUUUUCAGGACCACACUCCAAACGAAGGGGUAUGAAUUAUCUUGGCAACAUGGCUGCCUGAGCGAACAAAAAGACACAUAAAUGUAAGAAAAAUUUUGCCAUUAAUAAAGAUUUUAACGAAAAGUAAUCAUUUGUUUUAUGUUACAUUCAAUCGUGAGUUCAUAUUAACGGUCAUGUUACUCAGAGAAAUGUUUGCAAAACAUCGCAAAUAUUGGCUAACGUCAUAUCAUUAUAGAAUGUACAAUAGUACCACAACAUAUUUUCUUGUCUGAUCAGGGCGAUAACCACAGUAGACAUUGAGGGGGCUAGUCCCCCCAAUAAUUAGAAAUCGCUAAACCCUGUUCUCAAAUAUUGAGAGAGAGAGAGAGAGAGAGAGAGAGAUGGAAUUUGCAUGUAUGCGUGUCUGUGUGUUUCUCUUUUUAGAGUGAGUUUACUUAAAAACAGUGAUUUUAUCCUCUUGUUGCUGGAAAAUAUAAUGUAGCGAUUCCGUAUUUAAGCUGUAUUUAAUAAAAGUCGUGGGGCAGUGUUGACAAGUUUCUUUUCUCCUAGAUGUGUGAGCUGCGCGAUUUCCGAAAUGUGUGUGUCAGUAAGCAGCGCAUUAAUACAGAACGGUAAUUAAAGGCUCUAAUGCACACCAGCACACCAGUAUAUGUGUGUAUUGUAGGAGCUAGACUACGUAUGACGACGUCCGACGGCAUAGUAGUGGUGUCCCAAUUCUUAGGGGAAUAUUUUUACCCCUAACCCUUAACACUCAGUUUCAAGGGACAAGGGGAAGGGGUAGGCAGAGGGGUAGGGGAAGGGGAAGGGGUAUAAAAUAGAAUUGGAAUUUGGCCGGAUAGUUUGUUCAAACACAAAACUCAAUAGGCCUAUACAUCCAUCAAGUUAAUAGUCAAACUAACCUAAAAUCUUGAUUGUUGAAUAUAUAUCCGUAGGUGAAAAUAUGAUCUAUAUAAAUGAUUUAUAAAUAAAUCUUAAUCUGUAUUGUAUGAACAAAAUUUAUAACAUAUUUAUAACCCUUAAGAUCCAUAAAGUACAUACAUUUGCUACAGACAAAAUACAUAGCCUACAAUUAUUACACGGCUCUGUGGAAUACUUGAUUCUGAUUGGUCAAUCGCGCCAUCCAGUGGUUUGUUAUUCCAAGAUAACAACUACCAUAUUGACCCUGCGUUCCAUUCGGAAGGGCUCAUCUCUAUGCCCUAAUCCCUUCAAAGGGUUUACCCUCUGGAGUGAGAGCUUUGGAGGGUUGAAGGGUUGUGUUGGACCAAACAACUGUUUCUUAAAGUGCCCUUCUGCGUCAUCAUCACGUGCCCACAUGUACCCACCGUCAUCAUGGAAAGAAUCUGCGCAAAGGAUCAUGGGAGGCCGAAUUGUCCAUCAGUUGUAUUCUUCAAAAUCCUUCAUUCCGAAGGGCCCUUUGAAGUGGGCCAUUUUGAGCACUUUGGUUUAGAACGACCCUUCAAUAUGGCGGCCAAGAUUGUUUUCAUGAAGUGCCCUUCAGAGGCCGAAAUGUCCCGUUUGGAACGCACUGACAAUAACACACCGCUUAUCUGGGUUCUACGAGUUAUCUUGACCGGUACUACUUAUGCUUAAUGAGUCACUCCGCUAUCAUUGACUGUCUGGCACCAUCUUGUAACUGUAAAAAACGUAACCACCGCGUGUUACAAUGGAAGACAUUAAUUUCAACAUAUAUGGUAAAAACAAAUAUUUUUAGCCGUGUAAUAAGCGGCCUGUCUCAGAAUAAACCCCUUCAGGCUGAUACAAGACCCCUCCGCUUCGCGUCGGUGUCCUGAUCACCCUGUCGGGUUUAUUCUGAAAUGACAACUGGCUGGAUGUACAUUAUCCCUUAUUUAUAAAGUAUGAGGGAAAAAAUGUUCAAACAAACAAAAUGCAACAGUGUGCAGCUGUGGCACAGGCCUAAUAAACUGCAACCCUCCAUGACUCUCCUUUCCCUCAACUAUAAUGAACAGCCCUCAUUAUAGCCUGUCCCUCUUCCCCUAUAAUAAACCAUCCAUAAAAAGUUUUUCAGAAUAGCAAAACCACACAGAAAUAAAACGGAUCCUAUCAAAACAAUCUAAUGGUGCGAACAACCUUGUAAAUCUUUACAGGAAUGGACUGUUUUAACUUGGC